UCGAGUUACUGGACUAAACGCAGAAAAAUUAAGAAGGGAGUCAUGCAGGAUUUGCUCAAACUAGGGUCCACAUCUGUAUAGUGCGAGGAGAGAGAUGGUAUCAUGGAUUUUGAGAUCACAGAGCUUCCACUGCAGGAGUCAAAUAGGGAUGAGUUAGGCCUAGCUGAUAGCAAUAGUGAAACGAUGGAUGGAGACAUUUUAACUGUGAGUUCAGAGGAUAACACAGAUGACAGUACAGAUGAAGAAGACAUGAAGAAGUUACUAGCUGAUUGGGCUAUCGGAAAACAAAUUCCACAUUCGGCAUUAAAUGAACUUCUAAAGAUUCUGACCAAGAAAAUACCUGAAUUUGGGUUACCUAUAGAUCCAUGGACUUUGUUGAAAACAAAACCUGUUGUAAAAACUAAAGUCAUCACUGGGGGAACCUAUUUCCAUGCUGGCUUUGCUCAUGGUGUGCUAUCUCACCUCACCAUGCACCCAAUGCUACCUGAACCUGUGUCUCUCCAAAUAAAUAUAGAUGGCCUGCCAUUAUACAAAAGCUCAACUGCUCAGUUUUGGCCUAUAUUAGGGCUAGUAGAAGUCUUUGAUGGUUUGGUCCAGACUAACAAGUCCCCAUUUGUCAUUGGGAUAUUCUUUGGUCAAAGGAAACCUACUAGUCUUGAGUGUUUGCAUGACUUUGUUGAGGAAGCAGAAGGGCUAGAAGCCAAUGGUAUUUCUUUUGGAGAAAGAAAUGUGCCUGUGAAAAUCUCUGCAAUUGUUUGUGAUGCUCCAGCAAGGGCAUUUGGCAGAAACGCAAAGGGUCACAAUGGUUACUACGGCUGUGAAAAGUGCCGUCAAAAGGGAGUCUUCUACCUGAAUUGAAUGACCUUCCCAAACAUGAAUGCUCCUCAAAGGACUGACCACGACACUUUUGAUGAGUUCACAGAUGACUGUCACUAUAGUGGGAUAACACCUUUAGGUAGAUUGUCAAUUGGUCUGGUGACACGGUUUCCACUUGAUUAUAUGCAUCUGGUGUGUUUGGGAGUAACACGAAAGCUGGUAACUCUAUGGCAGAAAGGGCCCCUGACAACUCGUUUAAGUCCUUCGGUUGUUUCGAAUACAUCCACAAAGCUGAUUGACGUAAGACCACAUAUUCCAUCAGAAUUCAACAAAAAACCCAGAUCUCUGAAAGAAUCCAACCGAUGGAAAGCAACAGAAUUUCGGACGUUUCUCUUGUACACUGGUCCUGUCUGCCUUAAAGAGCAUCUUGCAAGAGCUAUGUACGAGAACUUCAUGCUGCUUGCCGUCGCCAUGACCAUUCUCCUAAGUAUCUCCUUGUGUGUAGAUUAUGCUGACUACGCUAAAGACCUCCUAGUGUUGUUUGUGGACCACUGCAGCUGCCUGUAUAGAAAAGAAAAUGUCGCAUAUAACAUGCACAGCCUAAUCCAUCUCAGUUAUGAAGCACAGACAUUUGGUGUCCUUGACAAUAUCUCCUGCUUUCCCUUUGAGAAUUAUCUUGGUCAGCUGAAGAAAAUGAUUCGGAAACCCAACAAGCCUUUAGAACAGGUCAUACGGAGACUGUCAGGAAGAGAGGCCAUGGGAGCAACUCAGUCAGAGGCUAAUCAUGAAAUGCAAAAGGAGCAUACUGAUGGUCCAGUUCCAAUUUGUUUAACUGUGAAAAGGCAGUUUGACAAAAUGCAGUUCAACAGUUUUUUGGUACAGAGGUCUACUGGCAACAAUUGCAUACAGCUGAGGAACAAGGAUAUUGUGCUGGUGGAAAACAUUGUACUAGAAGAACAUGGGGAUAUUUUCAUUGUGUACAAAAGAUUUAGGAGCCAAACAGACCUUUUCUCUUACCCCCUGCUGUCAUCCAAGCUGGACAUUUUCCUUAUGUCUACAUUGAAGAAUGAGCUUCUUUUUACAAAAUCCACAAAUCUAUUAAGAAAAUGUGUUCUACUCCCAUGCAAAGAGGGCUUUGCUGGGAUGGCUUUACUCCACAUGUAAUAUCCUGGACUUUUUUUUACUCAAGGGAUGACAGUUUUAUUAAGUACUAUGUUUGCAGUGGUUACAUUUUCAAAUGAAGAAAACUGUUUAGCUGUGGUCUCAAAGAGUUGGUGCACAAAGAAAAGAUGUUAUUGGCCUCCAUAUAAAACCCAGGAGAGAUUGCGGAAGGCAGUGAUCUUGCAUGGACUUCCAGACAUUAAUACAUGGGAGGUGUUCGCCAUGGAGAUAUUGAAGAUCAAGGAUUCGUUUGACAAAGCACAUGAGUGCCUGGUUCGGGCUGAGAAAGAUUCAAGUCUUGAAACAGAACCAGAAACCACACAAAGGAAACAAAAGCGAAAUCCAAAGUACGACCAGUCUGACUGAGGAGUCUGACGCUGCUGAACACCCCUUCUCCCCAGCGCCGAAGCCCCCCAGCUUUACCACUAAGAAAAGUUCCAUUCUGUCCUCCUCAUCACUGGGUUCAGCUGCUCACCAGCCUGAAGUGUCUGGAGAGAGAUCAGUGGCCAACUUGCCAGUGUUUCAAAGUUCCAGUCAGUCCUCAUCACUGGGCCCUACUGCUCGCCAGUUUGAGGAUUUCCAACGGCUGAUUUUUCAGCAUCAGAGGGAAAUGGCAGAGGAAGUGAGGGAGUUGCGCUACCAGACAACACUGAACCGUAACGUCUGACUACAGCUGACCAAUGGGACACAUUUGGUCAUGGUUUUGGCAGAGGACGUUCUGCUUCCUCUGAAAGAUCGGCUAAUGCUGGAAGACCUUGAACAAAGGCUUGCUCAAGAUGUUGAACUUCAAGAGAAACUGGUCAGGUUUUUGGCUGCUAAAGGGGGAAAAUCCACCAAAGACUCAGUGAAGAGGAUGUUCUCCUGCAUGUUCAGCAAUGAUUUAACAAAGCUCUGCAACUGGACCGGCUUGGGCCAGAAGAUUGCAUUCAAGGGUCUCAUUUUAAAGAACAUUGUCCAUAGAGCAAUUAGAAAGAACCCAGGGACCAGAGAUGCAACAGAAGGGAGUCUCCAGAAAAUUGCAUCCAAGUUUAUGAAGGGAGCUGCAGACAGAGAUGGGGGAAGAAGAUACAGACAAAAGACUGUGUAGCACACUUCUAUACCAACUACUUUAUCUUUAGAAAAUGUGUAGAUAUGUUCACAAUUUGUUUGCACUAUGUUCACUUGUAUUUUUUUGCACUAUUUGUUUUUUUUAUACGAUUUGUAUUUUUAUAUUGUAUAUUAUGGCCAUUUUAUAUUUCAUAUUCUUUAUUUUAUUCUAAAUUGUACAUUGUGCCCAAGGGCGUAACCACGCAUUCUUUGAGGGGGUCGUGUCCCCCCCAAUAUUGAGAAAAUACAAAUCUGUCCCCCCCAAUAUACAGCAGAAAAUUGUAAAAUAUAUGUUCUCUUUUUAUGAACCCAGUCAAUGGAUCGGUCUUAUGUCUUAUUUAUUUUCAAUGUAUUUCCGUUUGUUAAGAAAAACAUAAGUGUGUGAAUCCCCCCUCCGAAUUGCACACUUCUGUGAUCCACCUUGCGUCGUUCUGCGUUGUAAUGGUUACCUAAAACUUUUUCGUUAGUCAGUUGAGCUCAAAGAAAGUAAGGUUAGUUAACUUAUUGGAGAGGGCUAAAAAGCGAAAAAACUUGACCAGCAGCCAAGCAUAUGCGUUUUUUUUCAGACAGCAAGUAACUUGAUACCUAGCUAAAUGUGUAAGCAAGUAAAACCUGUAGUAAAACAAUGCAGGCACGGCAAUGAACUGUCUCAGAGAAAUUUCACUAUUCCUUUAGAAGUGAAUUCAAAUGGUCAAUGUAGUCCUUGAAACUAUGUUCUAAAUGUGCACAUUUUCAUAGGCCUAUAUAAAUUGUAGGCAAUGCAUGUAGAGCUAACAACAACAAAAACUCGUCACCUUUCGGCGAAAUUCGCCGUUUUUGAUCCAAAAUAGGUCAAUUGUGUGAUUCAUGUAGCUAGAUCUGCAUUUUAAAAAAGGGGUUCCUCCAAGUAGCGUUAGCCUAGUCUGCGAACGCAAACUGUCAUGAAUAUUUUUUUCAAGCUUGUUGUUUGGCCAAACAAUGUCAACAUGACACGCACGCUUUUCAUUUCGAGUCAUCGAGUCUGUAACUCCCAGAGCCCCAGACAUGACUUCCGAAAUUUGUGGUUACGAAAUUCUAAUUCGUGGCCAUUGACAUUUUCCAAAUAUGAGUCCUUCCGACGACAUAUUUACAGGAAGCAUUAAGACAUUAUAGCCAGACGAGCCACUGCACAUGAUAUCCAGGAAACAGUUGUGGGGGAGGAUGAGCAGGGGCCCAGUGAUGCUGUCAAUCCUCCUGAACCUCCUGAUAUGAAUGAACUGUUAGUGCAGUUUAGAGAGAAUCUUUUUGGCUUUAUUCUGAAAUCAAGGGAAAAAAACACCUUCCUCAGACUGUUCAACAAGAAAUACUGGAUGACGUACAUUUUUUGUUCGACUUCUUUAAAGCAAACUAUGAUGCAUUUCUAAAAUAUCAUCUCGAAAAAAAUUGCUUCAAUGUGGAAUCUUGUCCUGAACUUUAUCAAGUUCUGCAGUGCCCCGACUUUUUUUCAGAGGCACCAAAACUUGUUAGGUCUCCGUAUAUGUUGAAAUACUACUGCAAAUCCAAGCUUGAAAUUACUGAACCUGUAGACUAUUCAUUGAGAGACCCAAGUGGUCGUAAAGUUGGAAGCUACUCUUAUGUACCCAUUUGUGAUGUGCUUCAGAAAUACUGCAUUCGUGAAGAUGUUUGGGAUUCUAUGCAGAGAGAGCGAAACUGUGAAAGAGAUGUGCAUGUUCUAACUGAUUAUAGAGAUGGAUUUUAUUUCCGGAACCACAAGUUCUUUGCAGAUAAUCCAGAUGCCCUAAGGUUACACCUAUAUGAGGAUGAAUUUGAGGUGUGUAAUCCGCUGGGUUCUAAACGCAACAAACACAAACUUUGUACAUUUUACUACAUUGUUGGAAACAAUUAGUUUCCAAGUACUGCUCACAGCUAAAACAUAUCCAGAUAGCUUUGCUUGUCCGUUAUGUUUACAUCAAAAAGUUUGGUUUGGAUGUAAUUUUGAAACCAUUACUGGAUGACCUUAAGAGACUGUCAUCAGAGGGACUUGCUAUCAUUGUUAAUGGCAUUGAGAAGCAUGUUUUUGGAGCUGUUGCUGUUGCUGAUGACAAUCUGUCAUCUCACAUGAUAGGUGGAUUUACCAUGUCUUUUGGUGCUGGUCGAAUCUGUAGAUACUGCAUGGCUACUCACUCUGAGAUGAAAAAGAACUUCAGUGAAUCAGAUUUUGUUUUAAGAAAUGUUGAUGUACACAGAUACCAUUUAGAAUGUGUAAAACAAAAUCCAGAAAACAAAGGAAUGUAUGGAGUUAGUGGUGUAUUUGACCAGUUAGAUUACUUUGACGUCACAACAUCUCUUCCUCAUGCAUGAUUUCUUGGAGGGUGUAGCACCGUUAGUAUUGAGGCUUGUUGUAUGUAAAGCUCAUCACGAAAAACAUAUAACCAUACAAGAACUAAAUGAGGAACUAAAAAAAUGUCCAUUGGACAAAAUGAUAGGACAAAUAAGCCUGUGCCUUUCUCAGAAAAUCGUUUACAUUCCUUCAGUAUUGUUGGAUCUGCUUCACAGAAGUGGUGUUUAUUCCGCCUACUUCCUUUCUUGAUGGCACACAGGGUACCUGAAGGCUGCAGUUACUGGCGGAUCUAUUUAUUGUGUCGUGAAAUUGCCAACAUUGUAAUGGACUUGUUGAGAAUAAUGGAUCAAGUAAUGACAUUUUGGAGUUAUCACAUUUCCAAACUUUUUUUCCAUACCACACAAAAACUCUGAAACCAAUUGGUCAAGAAGAGGAAGAGACUUUUUUAACAACCAGUUGAUAAUUCUUGUUUGUUCCAGACAUUGUUCCCUCCUGCCAGUUCCUUGUGGGUACCUUUGCUUCUCUACCUUCUCCUGGAUUUUUGACCUUCUGCCUGCCUGAUACGACUAGCCUACUCCCUUUGAACCUUUGCUGAAUAAAUCCGCACUCUGCGCUUGGGUCUACUCUAGGAGGCAGGAGUAGACCCGAGCGCAGAUAGGAUAGUCAUAUCCAGUGUUCAGGCAGAAGGUCAAAAAUCCAGGAGCGGGUAGAAGCAAAGGUACCCACAAGGAUCAGGCAGGAGGGAACACGAUCUGGAACAAACAAGAAUUAUCAACAAGAGGCUAAACAGGAAAUCGGAUCAACACUCAAUGUGACAGUAAACUGCACAAGACUUUGCAAGGGACACAAGGGAAUCAGGGGUAUAUCUACAGACCAGUUUGAUGGGUAACCAGACACAGGUGUGCAGGGAUAAGUGGGCAACUCUAUCCAAGGAGUGGGUGUGCACAACAGAUAGGCAGAAACAGAAUGGAACAAACCAACAGUAAACAGGGGAUCCAGAUUUGAAGGCCUCAGUACUCAGGGGAAGAGGAGCGCUGGAUCGUGACAGCUGGGUUGUAGCGUUGUGGAUGAGAACGGCAAACAGCUCAAAGCUUGUUUUUUAAAUUCAGAACACAGACAUCAUUCAGUGUUUUUUUUUAUGUUUUUAUAUUGAACACAAAAUCCUAAAACAUUGUUGCAUUUUAUUUUUGGAUGUGAUAUUGUAUGUUUGUGAGAUCCUGUCAAUUGUUUUCCAUUUUAAGGACUAAAAUAAAUGUCUAAAAUCAGUUGUUGUUUGCCUUUUUUUCUCUCACUUCUUAAGGAACAAGAAUGAUAUUUGUUUGCCACUUAAAGGUACAAAAUGGCUUUGUCACUGGGGCGGUACCUUAAUGGGACAAAAUUGUACCUUUUCCAGAGUUACUUUGUUGUUCCUUUGUUUAAGGUACAUUUUUGAUCCUCAAAGGUACAAUAUUGUCCCUUGUUACGUGCACGCCUAGUGGCAGGGUGAGAGGGAGGUUUAUUGUCCUUUCUCAAAGUAACUUUUAGAUAUAACACUUUAGUGGAGCAGCGGCCUUGCACCCGGUGGUGAUUGGAGGAGAGUGGAACGGUGUCCUGAUUGGGGUCCGGGUAAUUAAGGGGAGGAGUUUAUUGUUUUUAAACUCCCGGAUGGCGGAAAGAAGGGGGGAACCUGAGAGUUGUUUUGGAGAGUGUCACCAUCGACGCGACCGGUUGUCCCCCUGUGUUUUCUGUUUCCCCACGUCUGCGGAUCCAUAUUACGUUGCACACGCCGUGCUUAACAUACCGACUCAAUCUAUAUACGCUGAUCAACCCAACCAACCGAGAGCGAGCUGUCCGCCAAACCGAACGGUGGCUUGGGCUGUCCUGGAGACCGGGGUGGGAGUCUACUGGAGUGGGGUGUAUGUUCCCAUCUUCUGUUUCCACUUUCCACCGGUCAGGGCCUGCCGCUGCGUAGUGUAGCCUUUGGU